rnacentral:lncRNA from 1 species
UGAGCUAUACCCCUCAGCCCUAUUUAUUUAUUUGUUUAUUUGUUUAUUUUUUGGUGCUGGGAUUUGAAACCAGGAACUAUUAACCCUGAGUUAUAUCUGAGAGUUUUUUUUUUUUUCUUUUAAACAGGCUUCUGCUAAAUUGCCCAGGUGAGCCUCCAACUUGUGAUCUUCCUGUCUCAGCCAUGAGUCAUUGGGAUUACAGGCUUGUGCAACCCUGCCCAGCUCCUUGGUCUCUCUUGAGGAACUUGGAACAUACUCCAUCCCCUCCUCCAUCCUUAGCCAGCAUCCCCACCAUCUGGACCCUCUCAUACCCCACAGGGAUUUCCUUGUCCCCUUGGAACUGAGGCUGAUCUGAGUCCAGCUUCUGCUGACUAAAGUUGCCAUCUGCUCUCCAGCAUGCCUGCCUUACCCAGCCCAGCCAGGAGCCCCUUGGCUGGCAUGCUCCUCCCUCAUUCUGGACCCAGGUGCCACAGAGGUGGUUUACACGGUUCUUAAUUUGGUAGUCUCUUGUUUGGUAAAGGUCAAAUUCCUGGAUACCCUCACAUUUCUAACUCUCUGAAUAUCAGAGCAUCCAGGAUCCUAGUUUCUUUUUGUACUUAUGUGUGCAUGUACUAUAGCAAAAUUGGAAACUAUAGUUAAACAAAAGGAAGAAAAUAAAAAUUUCUGUCCCAGGCUAAGCA